rnacentral:rRNA from 1 species
AGCAGCCGCGGUAAUUCCAGCUCCAAUAGCGUAUAUUAAAGUUGUUGCAGUUAAAAAGCUCGUAGUUGAAUUUCGGGAUCAAUAUGUUGGUCGUGCCUUGGGUACGUACUAGUUUAUUGGUUUCUUCCUUCUGACGAACCAUGAUGUCAUUAAUUUGGUGUCUUGGGGAAUCAGGACUGUUACUUUGAAAAAAUUAGAGUGUUUAAAGCAGGCUCACGCUUGAAUACAUUAGCAUGGAAUAAUGAAAUAGGACGUUUGAUUCUAUUUUGUUGGUUUCUAGGAUCGACGUAAUGAUUAAUAGGGAUAGUUGGGGGCAUUAGUAUUCAAUUGUCAGAGGUGAAAUUCUUGAAUUUAUUGAAGACUAACUACUGCGAAAGCAUUUGCCAAGGAUGUUUUCAUUAAUCAAGAACGAAAGUUAGGGGAUCGAAGACGAUCAGAUACCGUCGUAGUCUUAACCAUAAACUAUGCCGACUAGGGAUCGGAUGAUGUUAAUUUUUAAUGACUCAUUCGGCGCCUUACG